rnacentral:rRNA from 1 species
UACGUAGGGGGCGAGCGUUGUCCGAAGUUACUGGGCGUAAAGCGCGCGUAGGCGGUCAUUUAAGUUCGGGGUGAAAGGUUCAGCGCUCAACGCGAACAGUGCCUUGAAUACUGGGUGACUUGAGUUCGGGAGAGGGCAGUGGAAUUCCUGGUGUAGCGGUGAAAUGCGUAGAUAUCAGGAGGAACACCGAUGGCGAAGGCAGCUGCCUGGCCUAGAACUGACGCUGAGGUGCGAAAGACGUGGGGAGCGAACGGG